GCCAGUGCGAGGGCAGCACGGAGCACAGGAAGUUGGGGCUGUCGGUGCGGACCAACUCGGCCGGGUGGUCGGCGAUGAUCUCCACCAUGGUGCGGUUAUCGUGCGGCCGCAGCCGGGGCACGGCGGCUUCUUGCUGCUGUUGCUGUUGCUGCUGCUGCUGCUGUUGGGCCACUACGACCGGGCUGACCUCGCUCAUCUUGCCGGGCUGCAGGCUGCUGGAGGGGGGGCUGAACCUCCGGCUGGUGCUGGGAUCUACGGGAAUACGCAUCACAACAGCCACAAAGGGGGCGAAGGCAGCCGGCUGUGCUCGCUGCUUCAAGAGGAGCGUCACUCGCAAAGAGCGAAGGGCAAACGUCCCGAUUUCCUCCGAAGAAGUCUUCCUCCUCCGGACGAACAGACGGCAAAGAAAAAGGGAGCAAAGCCGAAGCGCUGUGCCGGGGGCUGCGGUGCGAGGCGCGGUGCGGGGCUGAGCGCCGGGCGCGGCCCGUGAGGAGGAUCGGGGCUCAGGGCGAGUCCAGCGCCCGGCUUCCCAACGAGCAGAGAGCGGGCAGCAUCGUCAGGAGGGGGCAAAAAGAGGGGAAGAGGCACCCCAGAGCAGCCCUCUGCGGGCUGAUUCCGAAACUAUGCCCGAGUGAACGGCGGGGAGAGGCAGCCUCGGUGCGGUCCGGUCCUUUUAAUUGAGUCGCUGCUGGAUCCGAGUCCGGGGAGCUGAACCGGGUAACUGAAAUCGCUCUUUUUGUUUGUUUGUUUGUUUUUUUCCGCCCUCGACGAACAACAGCAGCAAAAAAAUAGAAAAUAAAAAUAAAAAAAAUAAAAAAAGCAUUGAAGUGUCGCUUUGUCGGAGUUAUUUUUUUUUUUUUUCGCUCUCAGAAAAUUGCGUUGUUAAAGAAUGAGAAACAAUAAAAAGGCAAAAAAACAACAGAACUUCUUUUGGGUGCCGAGAAGCUGAGGUCGGGGAGAUGAAGGAGCCGAGAGGGGAAAAAAAAAAAAACAACACACACACACACAAAAAAAACCAGAAGAAAAAAAAAAAACAACAAAAACGCCGCAGUUUUUUUGUCCUGAAUGUGGUUUUUGGAGGCUGGGACUUCUAAUGAUUAGGGGUUUGUGGUUUAUAUAUACAGGGCUCUCCGGCUGGGGCCAUCAUUAUGCUGAUGAGAGUCAGCAGCACGUGGUGCUGCGCUCCUCAGCCUUCUGCAGCCUUCAAAAUAAAUACAACAAUGUGCAUCUCCCCCCCUCCCCUCCAUUGCCCCCCCCAGGAGGAGAGCCCUCGCCUGGAGCCGCCCGCAGCCGCGGGGAGGGGGCCGGGCCGGGGGGGAGGGGGGGCCCGGGGGGGGGGGGCGAUGCGCUCCGUUGCGCUCCGGGUUUUUUCCAUUAACACUUUUGGGUUUGUUUGUUUGGUUGAUUUUAUUUUUAAAAGACAUAGAAAAGUCUUGUUUGUUAAACUACAUAUAUGUAUAUAUAUGUAUACAGCGCGAGGAGUGAGCCGGUGCCCAGGGGUUCGUGCUGAGACUCCGCUAGUCUAAAGCCUAAAACAUUUCCUUGAAUGAAUGAAAGCUGUGCCCCCCCCCCCCCGCCCCCCCAUCCCCGCAGACUGGUAAGGUAAAGGCAGGCGCGUUUGUUUUCUCCCUUAAAAAAAAAAAAAAAAAAAAAAAGAAAGAAAAAAAAGAAAAAAAAAAGAAAAGGGCAGAUCUUAUUAAAAACAAUUUACAUACCCAAUGGUAACAAAGUGUCGCCGCCCCCCCGAGCAGAUAGCGGCCUAUCACAGCCCGCCCGCUAAUUUCUAAGGCUCCCCCCGCCCCGCCGCUUCCCCCCUCCCACCCCCCCCUCCUGCCGCCUGCGUGCAGCCCGGCCCGGCGGCGGUCCGUCCGGCUGGGGGUGCUGGGGGGGAGGAUGGGGGGGGUUUGGGCCGCGCACCCUUUUCGCACAGCUGUUACGAAGCUGAGCUCCGCCGCUGAGCACCGGCCGGCCCCGCUCCGUCCGGACCCCGCACAGAGCUCGGCAGCCCCACGGGGAAGAGCGGAGGGAGGGCCGGAGGAGCCGCCCCCGGGUCCCCCCUCGCCUCCCUUUGGGGUCCCGGCGCGGAGCGCAGCGGAUGGGCAGAGCGGGGCGGUGCGCGGCGCGGCGCGGAGAUGUGCCGCUCGGGCACAGGGGAGAGCUCUCGCUCCGCGCAGCGCAGCGCCGGGGCCGGCUCCGUUCCUUCGUCCCUCCUUCUCUUUUCCCACGGCCGCCGUGGGGAACGGCAGCCCCCGACCCGGCGAGCUGCCGGCUUUCCCUC